UCUGUUUGUUCAUGGGUGUUACCUGAAGAAUUUCAAACCGUCGUCCAGUGAGGAAGAUCUUGACUGUUACUUCUGUGGAAUGAAGAUGAUGAUUGAUUUAAUCAGUCUCUGCUGAUGAAGAUCUUGGCUGUUACCUUUGUGGAAUGGUUGGAUGAUGAAUCAAUUACGGAG